GAACACACAACAAUGUCCUGACAACCUCUCAGAACACAUAGCAGCACCCCAGCAACCUUUCAGAACACAUAGCAACACCCCAGCAACCUCUCAGAACACAUGGCAACACCCCGGCAACCUCUCAGAACACAUAGCAACACCCCAGCAGCCUCUCAGAACACAUAGCAACGCCCCAGCAACCUCUCAGAACACAUACCAAUGCCCCAGCAACCUCUCAGAAUAGAUAGCAACACCCUGGCAACAAUUUGCAAUGCUCUAGCAUAGCAGUGUUUGCACGGGAAAGCACCGCUCAAGGUUCUGAAUGUAAUUCCGCAUGACAAUAAGCCUCAGGGCUGUUUCAUGUCAGCCUUCGGUUCACUACAGUUAUAUAGAGCUGAACUGUAAUAUCAUUGUGUUACUAUGCACUUUUCCAAACUGAUAGCAAGCUAAAGUGAGAACUAAUAGGACUUCAGGGCUGGUUUUCCCUCCUAAGGGAUUUUUAAACUAAGCUGCAGGGGCCGUAAAGUCUUGACAGAGCGCUGAUGAAUGUGUGAUCAUAUCCAUUGCGAAGAAAAUGGGGGGUUUCACAGAGAGUUACAGGGCCUUGAUUCAAUGCUUCAUUGCACUUGGGGAAUCAGGAAUUUGGCUCGUGAAAAGACCCCCAAUUUUGGGGGGGCCCCACUUUAUCAUCUAAAAAAAAAUCGCUGUUAGUGUCAAAUGCUCAAAAAUGGAAAACAGAGCAGGAGGAAAUGAAGAAGGGGUGAAAGAGUAAAAUCAUUUGUUGGAGCUAUAAAGUCAUGGGGGGCUAAAAUUAUAUUCUGACAUGCCUAAGCCAUGCAAUCAAAGUGCCAAGAGACUUAAAGACCGGCAUACAAGGGCGUAUUGUGCUUCUCAGUGACAUCACUCCUGAGUAAGAGGGAAGGGAGACAGGGAGAUUCCCAGUUUUCCCUCUGGGGUGAAAAAGGCCAAGGUUGAUGUUGAUUGCCACGUCGCCAUGUGGGAGGAUUGUACUGAGGGCCGGCCUGCCCUCACUCCAUCCAUAGCCAUCAGAGCUGAAAUGAAUGCAUGCUAUAUAUUUAUUUAGGUUUUCAAAUAGACAUACAAUUCAGAUCAGAUAUCGCUGAGAAAGUCUCUAACCGCUAAGGAGGAGAUUUCCUCAGCUGAUUUAUGAAGAUGAAAAUGUGAAGGCUUAGAGGGGUGUUGUGUGCUUUUGGACUUGGCAGUAUUUCUCUAUUAAGAGGCUGUGAAAGCCAAAUGGUCAUUCUUGGGUGGAGUGUGAUAGAUGAGCUAAACUCUGACUCUGCGUGCAAACGUGCAAGCCAACAUGUCAAGUAUAGAAAAGUACAUGAAACAGGCUCAAAUGCUCAUCAGUCUACACAAGUUUGACCACUCAGUGAUGUACAUGAUGUACUGUGAGCGCCAUUGCUGGACAAACUCAUGUACUUGAGUUUAACUACAGUUAAUCUAAUGAAAUACAUUUCAGCAUUACUGUAGCACUACCAAGGAAUAGAUCAAGAAGUCAUUAUUCACUCAUUUACAUUUAUUAAUUUAUGUUCACUUUUAUUUAUUUUUUAUUUGUUUGUGUUCAACAGAAGAAGGAAAGUGAUGUAGACUUGGAACAACAAGAGGGAAAAUGGAAGGCCUGGCUUCGUGCAAGCAACUACCCUUAAAUUCAGGAAGCAAUGAACAAUGUGAAAGAUAACAUUCCUCCAAGAGCUAGGUGCCAUAAUAAUCUACAGGGGAUUUGAGACGUUGGCAUGAAAAACUCUUCCUGAAGGCAAAUUAUGCAAAGUUUGAAAAUGUGUAUCAGGUUAUGUAGCUGCUGGGAACAGGAACUGCCUCGCACUUUGCCAUCUAGCUUCUUGAGAUCAAGUUUGGCCAUGUGACAUGACCUGUCACACUCUUGAGUAGGUUCACAUAAACACUUCUGAGCUUUUUUCAGUUUCUCUGUCAAAGCACAAACAGGUUAUUCCAGUCAGCAGGAUAAUCUCAGUUCGGCCUGCAGGCUAAUGCUGCCUGUGUUCACUUAAAGAGUUAGCAAUUCACCCUUCUGUCACAGUCACAUAGGAAAUCGUUGAAAAGCAAAAACAGAACUAACUUCUUGAAGACUCUUCAAAGGAAGUUAAUAAACACUGGAUCAAAUAAGAGGUUUUCAUAAAUGCGCCAGAGAAAUAGACAAAGUUUGAGUUCAUUUGCUCUGUUUUGUAUUUUUUGAUUUCAGUGAAAAAGACACACCCAGAUGUGUUUAUAUCUCUUUUAUACCUCAGUAAAUAAUAUAAUUUAAUAUAAUCAAUAUAAUUACAUCUCAUUUCAGUAUGUAAACAACAAAACAUUAGGUGCAAGGUAUACGUUUAUCAGUUUGUCACUGGGAAUCAAUCUUUUUUUCUCAUAAAUGGCUUAGUAUCUCAUAAUUCCAAUUUUU